rnacentral:rRNA from 1 species
UACGUAGGGUCCGAGCGUUAAUCGGAAUUACUGGGCGUAAAGCGUGCGCAGGCGGUUUUGUAAGCCAGAUGUGAAAGCCCCGGCUUACCCGGGAAUGGCAUUGAAUACUGACAGAUCUGGAGGAUUGGAGGGGGACUGGAAUUCGUUGGUGUAGCAGUGAAAUGCGUAGAUAUCAAGAGGAACACCAGUGGCGAAGGCGAGGUCCCUGGAC